AGAACGAACGCUGGCGGCAUGCCUAACACAUGCAAGUCGAACGUGAUCCAGGCUUCGGCCUGGUGAAAGUGGCAGACGGGUGAGUAACGCGUGGGAACCUGCCCUGUGGUAGGGAAUAACCGCGGGAAACUGCGGCUAAUACCCUAUGAGUCCUUCGGGAGAAAGAUUUAUCGCCAUAGGAGGGGCCCGCGUCGGAUUAGGUAGUUGGUGGGGUAACGGCCUACCAAGCCUUCGAUCCGUAGCUGGUCUGAGAGGAUGAUCAGCCACACUGGGACUGAGAUACGGCCCAGACUCCUACGGGAGGCAGCAGUGGGGAAUAUUGGACAAUGGACGAAAGUCUGACGCAGCAACGCCGCGUGAGGGAUGAAGGCCUUCGGGUUGUAAACCUCUUUAUCAGGGAAGAUAAUGACGGUACCUGAUGAAUAAGUCACGCUAACUACGUGCCAGCAGCCGC
rnacentral:rRNA from 1 species